rnacentral:rRNA from 1 species
UACGAAGGGGGCUAGCGUUGCUCGGAUUGACUGGGCGUAAAGGGCGUGUAGGCGGCCUGUUAAGUCAGACGUGAAAUCCCUGGGCUUAACCUUGGGACUGCGUUUGAUACUGAUGGGCUUGAGGACAGGAGAGGAAAGCGGAACUCCGUGUGUAGCGGUGAAAUGCGUAGAUAUACGGAAGAACACCAGUGGCGAAGGCGAAUCUCUGGACAGUUACUGACACUGAGGCACGAAGGCCAGGGGAGCAAACGGG